rnacentral:rRNA from 1 species
UGGGGAAUAUUGGACAAUGGGCGCAAGCCUGAUCCAGCCAUGCCGCGUGAGUGAUGAAGGCCCUAGGGUUGUAAAGCUCUUUCACCGGUGAAGAUAAUGACGGUAACCGGAGAAGAAGCCCCGGCUAACUUCGUGCCAGCAGCCGCGGUAAUACGAAGGGGGCUAGCGUUGUUCGGAUUUACUGGGCGUAAAGCGCACGUAGGCGGACUUUUAAGUCAGGGGUGAAAUCCCGGGGCUCAACCCCGGAACUGCCUUUGAUACUGGAAGUCUUGAGUAUGGUAGAGGUGGGUGGAAUUCCGAGUGUAGAGGUGAAAUUCGUAGAUAUUCGGAGGAACACCAGUGGCGAAGGCGGCUCACUGGACCAUUACUGACGCUGAGGUGCGAAAGCGGGGGGAGCAAACAGG